ensembl:lncRNA
AAAAAAAAAUAAUAUUAAGAACUGUCAAAUAUAACAAUAGUUUGGAUGUCAGUUUUCAAAUAAACUAUAGUCAACUAAAAUAUGUCUCUGUCCUGAGACCUAGUGGAGGUCAAAGACAGAGAUCUAAAAAAGGAUUUUUUUUCUUAGGUAUCAGUAGAGCCGGUUCAGUGUCAGGUGUGGGGAGAUGGGUAUAAAAAAGUAUAAUAGACUGUUCACCUGUUUUCUAGAUACCAGUCAGUCACAGGCCCUUAGACUCAUCAUCACUCAGGGUUUGAAUACAAACAAGGCUGAAAAACUGUUUGAUGUGUCAUAUAGGAAACAGCUAAUCACAUGUAAUAAAAAAAAAAAAUUGAGAAUGUGGUUUACAGAGACUUCACAUGUGACACAUUUAUACAUUUGUAUAUACUUUGAAUAAAUAUGAUGAGUGGACUGGUUCUUAUGUAGUACUUUUUUUACUCUGACUGAGCGCUCACAGCUCUUUUUUACUACAAACCUCAUUGAUAGAAUCACACACACUCAUUCGUAGAGUGCUAGGUGUUUGAAUAUAAUGUUACUCAUCUUUAUGUAACAAAUUAGUUUGGCUGUACUUGUUUUUGCAGUUCAUGGUCAGUAUCAAACCUCUAACUGCUCUCUUUGGUAAAACCACAGUGAUGUUAUUGAAGUCAAACUGCAGGAAGAGGAAGUUUUCAUCUGCAGUACAGAGCAGCUGUAUUUGAGGCUUAGACAUUCAGCUGCAGGACAACAUGAAGGUUACAGCUGUCUGCUUCACAAUGUUGUUACUUGUAUUUAUUCUGCUGACCACACAUGUUGAAAACAGGGAUGCUGUGUUUCGCAUCGUCCCAAAAAGACUGCAGUUCUUUCAGCUGGAGUCUGUCUUCUUUCACUGUGAGGGUCUUGAUGGAGCUUCUCAGUUAAAAGGGAUCACAAAUACUGAGGCCUUCAUUUCAGCGUGUGAUGAGAGCUCACCAACACUAUUGUGUGCGAUUCAUCGAGCCUAUGCAACAGACAGCAGUGAAUACUGGUGUGAGACUGGAGCAGGAGAGAAAAGCAUCAGUGUCAACAUCACCAUAACUCGUAUGUUUAACACUCGAGUGACCGAGCUAUUUUAUUAUGAAAAGAUGAGGUCAUUAAUGACCUGAUGAAUUUAUAAAUGUCAUUCAGAAACAUUUUCUAAAAUGUAAAUGUUCUAUUUGUAUCUAUAGCUGUAGUAUUCUGAACUAAUAUUAUUAUUUAUUGCAUAAAGCAUUUAACUUAAACUUUUAACGAGUCAUAUUGAUUACACUCAAAUGUUGCUACAAUAUUGAUUAAUCAAGCCACAAUACUUGUUCAAUGGUAUGUACUAUUAAUAAAAAUUAACAUUAAAAUGAGUGACUAUCAAUGAGGCCAAAAUUUUGUUACCAUGGCAGCUGUUAACUAAAAUAGUUCCACUUAUUAUUUCAGUGUUUUGCUUGUUUGGUUUGAAAUGUUACAGAUUUCUGUAUCAGAUAAAAAGUCUCGUUUUUCAGGGGGAUGUUUUGCCUGCGGUAAUCCACACAUGGGUGAGCACAAGGCCAUAUGCAGACACACUGGCGGUCCUGUGCUGGCCCAGAACAGUUUCAGCUCUGUGUAAUAACAACAUGUACCGGAACAUAAUAGUGCAAAAGGGACAUGACAAAACUCUGUUCAGAUACUGAAUGGACUGAUUCUUGCAUAUUGCUUUUCUACUGUCCUGAUUACUCAAAGUGCUCUAUGGCGUGCUUCCUAACUACAUUCAUACUCGCGACAUGCAGACUGGAGGAGCCAGGAAUCACACCAUUAAACUUCCGAUCAGUAGGUGACCUGCUCUACCUCCUGAGCUACAGCCACCCAGUGGUAAGCAUGAGUAAACCCUCACUAGGUUUUGGAUAAAGUGUACACUCACAAACCUGUCAAACCUGCAUUUGAAACGCUGGCUACCAUAGCAGUAUAGUAUUGCAACAUGGUAUUUGGGUCUUCUAACUAAAAUUCAGAAAAUAGGAACAUAAAUUGUGCCUCAUUGCCAGUCUGGCCCACAUCUGCCAGCUUGAUGCCGGAUCCAGGGAGAACCUGUUUUCUAUGAGCCCGGGACACAUAAACCAAACCACAAUCGGGCCAGAUGUGGCAUGCCAUCACAUAAAC